GCCAGGCGUGGGGGCGCACGCCUGUAAUCCCAGCUACUCAGGAGGCUGAGGCAGGGGAAUCGCUUGAACCCGGGAGGCAGAGGUUGCAGUGAGUCAAGACCGCGCCACUGCGCUCCAGCCUGGGUGACAGAGCGAGACUCUAUCUCAA
ensembl:misc_RNA Metazoa_SRP Metazoan signal recognition particle RNA